rnacentral:lncRNA from 1 species
UCCUGUUAAUCUCUUUGUGAUUUGAGCAGGUGGGUGAGAUUCCUAAUUUCCAUAAUUAUCUGUGCCUGGAGGUUUAGACAGGAAAGGAUCAUUGGUGUAGACUUGAAACAUGGUGUCCAUGAGUGGAGAGUGUACUCCAGGGGCCAUGGAAAAAACUUCCUUCUGACAGCUGGAGACAGACUUCUGUGUGGGUGGGUGGGGACAUAAUCCCUUUUAUCCUGGCUUUGGUUUGCUUAAUUACCUCUUUAGCAGUGCUGUUCAUGGCUGCAACAGGUGUCAGGCUUUGUAGGGCAGACGCUGAGAUCUGGCCCAAAUCUUUGGUCAUUCCUGUGGGGCUGUAGGACCUGUAGGGCCGUAGGACCUGUAGGGCCGUAGGACCUGUAGGGCUGGACCUUCGAUACCAUGAGGUCUUGUCCCCCAUUGCAGCCCCUUGUCCUGGGGAUGAGAGAUAAGGUAUGUUGUUUGUUUCUGAAAAAAGUCCAGAAACCAGUCAGGAAGGGCAGCCCCUCCUUCCAAAUCCAAAGAAGAAGCUACAAUGGAAGAAGUGGGGUGGAAGGCAGGGCACAGAGGAUGGAGACCAAUGGCAUUUGUCACUGCCUCAGAAAAUUGUCCUGGACAUUUGCAAGUCACAGGAAGUUUGCAGAAAAAAAAUACAAAACCCAGCUGGAUUCUUUUCAGUACCUUAGCCUGCAUAUUUUCUUGAGAUAGUGUGUGUUACACUACACUUUGAGAGAGCGUAGAAAUAUGGGAAGCUAUGAUAGCGGCAGUUGGGAUCCUGGGAUUUUAGAUUGCCCCUGACUGGUGGUGGUGGAAGCCUGUGGAAGUUGUUUCGGCUCCUGGGAUCUCCCCAGUUUUCUCCUCUAUUGGUCGGGGUGGGGAGAGCUGGUGGGCAGGGAUGAGGUGGUCUCCAUUCUAUGACUCACCGGCUGAGGCCUGACCACGUCUCACACACACAGCCAAAGAUGUUGAUUGCUCUCAGCAGGGUUACACUCUCUCCUCCCCUGCCUCCCCAGCGGGUUAUCAUGCUGACUCAACUAACACAACCCCCACCUGGACUCAGUCCAAACGCCAGAUGUGCCCCCGAUUAGUGUCGGUCUGGGGAAUGUUUCCAUGACUGAAAGGUCAAUGUCAGCUGGAAGUGCCCAGUGUGGGUGUCUGCCCCCCACCCAUGUCAGCUGGGAGAGCUGAAACUUCCAUUAUCUCACUGGCCAAGGAACUCAGCUGGGGCGGCAUGGGGCCCGGAGCCGGCCAAGUUCAGGAGGGCCUUGUUUUACUUGCCUUCCUUCUUUGCUCUCAGUUGAAGGACAGAGUGUGAUUUUCCACUUGGAAGAGACUCCAGGGGUGUGCAAAGAGGGAAGUCCUGCUGGUGUGUAACUGAAAACACUUUGUUCUCCUUUAGAUCUGCAAUGUGCUCAUGUCUCUUCUGAUUUUCUUAUGGCGGCCGUCACCUCCACUAUGGAAAGAAAAAUGAACGAUAAUGUUGUGAUGGGCCGGGCUGCCAUGUUUUACCCUAUUUACAGGUCAUUUUAAGCAUUGCUUCUACACUUCAGACGGGCUUUCAUGUUUAAUUUCAUUCGUGUAGGGCUAUGUGAGGCUUUCCUCUAGGUAGCAAUGAAAAUUAAACACAAUUGAGUUUGAUGUGUACCUUAUUGGUUCCAGACCCAUUUCAGUAGAGUGUGACACUUCAGCGACCUGCAAAUUCUACACAUCAGAGUUCCUAUUUUACACAAACCCCGUAUGCCCGAGACGUGGACUUGAGUCCCUCUCGGCAACAUCCAAUCCCAGUCAAGGACAUAGACCCUGUCAGAGGAUGAAAGGUCUUGAUGAAGAUGCAUUGCAGAUGAUAUUUAUGGUCAUCCCCCUAGGAAAACAAAAAUGAUUCAUGAAAAAUUUCAUGGAAGUCACACCAAAAAGAGAGUAACAAUUUUCUCAA